CCUACNGGGUGCAGCAGUAAGGAAUAUUGGUCAAUGGAGGCAACUCUGAACCAGCCAUGCCGCGUGCAGGAAGACAGCCCUCUGGGUCGUAAAUUGCUUUUAUUCGGGNAUAAACCUAUCUACGUGUAGAUAGCUGAAUGUACCGAAGGAAUAAGGAUCGGCUAACUCCGUGCCAGCAGCCGCGGUAAUACGGAGGAUCCAAGCGUUAUCCGGAUUUAUUGGGUUUAAAGGGUGCGUAGGCGGCUUAUUAAGUCAGGGGUGAAAGACGGUGGCUCAACCAUCGCAGUGCCUUUGAUACUGAUGAGCUUGAAUAUACUAGAGGUGGGCGGAAUGUGGCAAGUAGCGGUGAAAUGCAUAGAUAUGUCACAGAACACCGAUUGCGAAGGCAGCUUACUAUGGUAUUAUUGACGCUGAGGCACGAAAGCGUGGGGAUCAAACAGGAUUAGAUACCCCAGUAGUC
rnacentral:rRNA from 1 species